rnacentral:rRNA from 1 species
AAUGAACGCUGGCGGCAGGCCUAACACAUGCAAGUCGAACGAGGUAGCAAUACCUAGUGGCGGACGGGUGAGUAACGCGUGGGAACGUGCCCCUUGGUACGGAAUAGCCCUGGGAAACUGGGAGUAAUACCGUAUGUGGUCGAGAGACGAAAGAUUUAUCGCCGAGGGAUCGGCCCGCGUUGGAUUAGGUAGUUGGUGGGGUAAUGGCCUACCAAGCCGACGAUCCAUAGCUGGUUUGAGAGGAUGAUCAGCCGCACUGGGACUGAGACACGGCCCAGACUCCUACGGGAGGCAGCAGUGGGGAAUCUUAGACAAUGGGGGAAACCCUGAUCUAGCCAUGCCGCGUGAUCGAUGAAGGCCUUAGGGUUGUAAAGAUCUUUCAGUGGGGAAGAUAAUGACGGUACCCACAGAAGAAGCCCCGGCUAACUCCGUGCCAGCCGCCGCCGUAA